AUGCAGCGCGCAGACACAGUGAAAACAACCCACAGGAUAACCCUACCCGCACAGCCAGAGAAGACCGAAAAAAUGGAAAGCAAAAAACAUACCACAGAAAACCACAAUUUGACCCAAAAGAUAAAAAAUAGGGAGCUCAGAAUCGUGAAAAACAGGGCACGAGUUAAAUCAAAUGUAUGGGAUCAUUUUGGAGUAAUCGUUAACGCUGACAAACAACAUGUGGAUGGAUUCGCAGCAUGCAAAAAGUGCAAGCGGGUGUUAGCUUAUGACAGCCACAGAACAGGCACUUCCAGCUUGAAAAAACACAUAGAGAAAUGCACGUCGUUGAAGUACAGCAAAAGAGAAGCUGCAAUAAAGGAAGAGAAGACACUGUCCAAGAAGAGCGCACAUGAGGAUGAGGAGCCACACCCUAAAAGAGGGGUGUCAAAGCAAGAACCCAAUACUUCAGAGGUAGCCUUGACAGAAGGUGGGGCUCCAGAGCAGUUUGAGUUUCAGUAUGGACUUGAGGGACCAGCAUUUGAGAAUGGGGAGUCCUCCAAGAGCCAUCUGUCCAUCAUCAAAGUAGAACAACUGGACUCCCUCCUCCCAGACCAAACAGACUCCAGCUGUGGUUCAGGGUCACCUGGGGAUUCGGGGCCUCCUGGCUCAUCUGGUUCUGGGUCCAAUACUAGUCUGGCUUCACAGUUUUUCAAGAAGUGCCACCAGGCAGGCUGCACACAAUUCAUCUUCUCGGAGUUCGCCUCCCGCCUCAGCAUCAUCACUGAGAGGAUUGCAUCCCAGCAGGCCAGCGAGGAAGAUUUCAACCUCACCCUGAAAGUGCUGGAGGCCUCUGGGAUGCUGCCAGAGAUCUUUACCAAAAGAGAUCAAGAAAUGGAGAAGAGACUGGGGGAGCUACAGAGAGAGACUGUAGCGGUGAGGACUGCCAGGUCUGCCAUGAGAGAUGCUUGCGUCAUGAGCUUCACCUCAUCAUGA
rnacentral:lncRNA from 1 species